GAGUUUGAUCCUGGCUCAGAUUGAACGCUGGCGGCAUGCCUUACACAUGCAAGUCAAACGGCAGCACGGGAGCUUGCUCCUGGUGGCGAGUGGCGAACGGGUGAGUAAUGCAUCGGAACGUAUCCUGGAGUGGGGGAUAACGUAGCGAAAGUUACGCUAAUACCGCAUAUUCUGUGAGCAGGAAAGCGGGGGACCUUCGGGCCUCGCGCUCUUGGAGCGGCCGAUGUCGGAUUAGCUAGUUGGUGAGGUAAAGGCUCACCAAGGCGACGAUCCGUAGCAGGUCUGAGAGGAUGAUCUGCCACACUGGAACUGAGACACGGUCCAGACUCCUACGGGAGGCAGCAGUGGGGAAUUUUGGACAAUGGGGGCAACCCUGAUCCAGCCAUGCCGCGUGAGUGAAGAAGG
rnacentral:rRNA from 1 species